GAUGAACGCUGGCGGCGUGCCUAACACAUGCAAGUCGAGCGAUUUACUUCGGUAAAGAGCGGCGGACGGGUGAGUAACGCGUGGGUAACCUGCCCUGUACACACGGAUAACACACUGAAAGGUAUGCUAAUACGAGAUAAUAUGCUUUUAUCGCAUGGUAGAAGUAUCAAAGCUUUUGCGGUACAGGAUGGACCCGCGUCUGAUUAGCUAGUUGGUAAGGUAACGGCUUACCAAGGCGACGAUCAGUAGCCGACCUGAGAGGGUGAUCGGCCACAUUGGAACUGAGACACGGUCCAAACUCCUACGGGAGGCAGCAGUGGGGAAUAUUGCACAAUGGGCGAAAGCCUGAUGCAGCAACGCCGCGUGAGCGAUGAAGGCCUUCGGGUCGUAAAGCUCUGUCCUCAAGGAAGAUAAUGACGGUACUUGAGGAGGAAGCCCCGGCUAACUACGUGCCAGCAGCAGCCGCAG
rnacentral:rRNA from 1 species